AGAUUGAACGCUGGCGGCAUGCCUUACACAUGCAAGUCGAACGGCAGCGCGGGAGCAAUCCUGGUGGCGAGUGGCGAACGGGUGAGUAAUAUAUCGGAACGUGCCCAGUCGUGGGGGAUAACGCAGCGAAAGCUGUGCUAAUACCGCAUACGAUCUAUGGAUGAAAGCGGGGGAUCGCAAGACCUCGCGCGAUUGGAGCGGCCGAUAUCAGAUUAGCUAGUUGGUAGGGUAAAAGCCUAACCAAGGCGACGAUCUGUAGCGUGUCUGAGAGGACGACCAGCCACACGUGAACUGAGACACGGUACCAGACCUACCGUACGGGA
rnacentral:rRNA from 1 species